UACGAAGGGGGCUAGCGUUGUUCGGAAUUACUGGGCGUAAAGCGCAAGCAGGCGGAUUUAUAAGUCAGGGGUGAAAUCCCGGGGCUCAACCUCGGAAUUGCCCUUUAUACUGUCUAUCUUGAGUCCGGGAGAGGUGAGUGGAAUUCCUAGUGUAGAGGUGAAAUUCGUAGAUAUUAGGAAGAACACCAGAGGCGAAGGCGGCUCACUGGCCCGGUACUGACGCUCAUGUGCGAAAGCGUGGGGAGCAAACAGG
rnacentral:rRNA from 1 species